AUUGAACGCUGGCGGCAGGCCUAACACAUGCAAGUCGAGCGGAUGAAGGGGGCUUGCUCCUGGAUUCAGCUGCGGACGGGUGAGUAAUGCCUAGGAAUCUGCCUGGCAUUGGGGGAUAACGUCCGUUAACGGGCGCUAAUACCGCAUACGUCCUGAGGUAGAAAGUGGGGGAUCUUCGGACAUCACGCUAUUAGAUGAGCCUAGGUCGGAUUAGCUAGUUGGUGGGGUAAAGGCCUACCAAGGCGACGAUCCGUAACUGGUCUGAGAGGAUGAUCAGUCACACUGGAACUGAGACACGGUCCAGACUCCUACGGGAGGCAGCAGUGGGGAAUAUUGGACAAUGGGCGAAAGCCUGAUCCAGCCAUGCCGCGUGUGUGAAGAAGGUCUUCGGAUUGUAAAGCACUUUAAGUUGGGAGGAAGGGCAGUAAGUUAAUACCUGGCUGUUUUGACGGUACCAACAGAAUAAGCACCGGCUAACUUCGUG
rnacentral:rRNA from 1 species